rnacentral:rRNA from 1 species
GAGUUUGAUCAUGGCUCAGGAUGAACGCUGGCGGCGUGCUUAACACAUGCAAGUCGAACGAACCUUCGGGUUAGUGGCGGACGGGUGAGUAACGCGUGGGAAUCUGCCCUCAGGAGGGGGAUAACGGCUGGAAACGGCCGCUAAUACCCCAUAUGCCGAGAGGUGAAAUGAAUUUCGCCUGAGGAUGAGCCCGCGUCUGAUUAGCUAGUUGGUGAGGUAAGAGCUCACCAAGGCAUCGAUCAGUAGCUGGUCUGAGAGGAUGAUCAGCCACACUGGGACUGAGACACGGCCCAGACUCCUACGGGAGGCAGCAGUGGGGAAUUUUCCGCAAUGGGCGAAAGCCUGACGGAGCAACGCCGCGUGAGGGAUGAAGGCCUCUGGGCUGUAAACCUCUUUUCUCAAGGAAGAAGAUCUGACGGUACUUGAGGAAUAAGCCACGGCUAAUUCCGUGCCAGCAGCCGCGGUAAUACGGGAGUGGCAAGCGUUAUCCGGAAUUAUUGGGCGUAAAGCGUCCGCAGGCGGCCCUUCAAGUCUGCUGUUAAAAAGUGGAGCUUAACUCCAUCAUGGCAGUGGAAACUGUUGGGCUUGAGUGUGGUAGGGGCAGAGGGAAUUCCCAGUGUAGCGGUGAAAUGCGUAGAUAUCGGGAAGAACACCAGUGGCGAAGGCGCUCUGCUGGGCCAUAACUGACGCUCAUGGACGAAAGCCAGGGGAGCGAAAGGGAUUAGAUACCCCUGUAGUCCUGGCCGUAAACGAUGAACACUAGGUGUCGGGGGAAUCGACCCCCUCGGUGUCGUAGCCAACGCGUUAAGUGUUCCGCCUGGGGAGUACGCACGCAAGUGUGAAACUCAAAGGAAUUGACGGGGGCCCGCACAAGCGGUGGAGUAUGUGGUUUAAUUCGAUGCAACGCGAAGAACCUUACCAGGAUUUGACAUCCUGCGAACCUCUUGGAAACGAGAGGGUGCCUUCGGGAACGCAGUGACAGGUGGUGCAUGGCUGUCGUCAGCUCGUGUCGUGAGAUGUUGGGUUAAGUCCCGCAACGAGCGCAACCCACGUCUUUAGUUGCCAGCAUUUAGUUGGGCACUCUAGAGAGACCGCCGG